UACGUAGGUGACUAGCGUUGUCCGGAUUUACUGGGCGUAAAGAGCGCGCAGGCGGUCGUUCAAGUCGAGUGUGAAAGCCCCCGGCUCAACUGGGGAGGGUCAUUCGAUACUGAUCGACUCGAAGGCAGGAGAGGGAAGCGGAAUUCCCGGUGUAGUGGUGAAAUGCGUAGAUAUCGGGAGGAACAUCAGUGGCGAAGGCGGCCUUCUGGUCCAGUACUGACACUCAAGUGCGAAAGCGUGGGGAGCAAACAGG
rnacentral:rRNA from 1 species